rnacentral:rRNA from 1 species
AGAGUUUGAUCAUGGCUCAGGAUGAACGCUGGCGGCGUGCUUAACACAUGCAAGUCGAACGAAGUCCAUGGAGCUUGCUCCAGAAGACUUAGUGGCGAACGGGUGCGUAACACGUGAGAAACCUGCCCUGGACUUUGGGAUAACAGUUGGAAACGACUGCUAAUACCGAAUACCACCAUUUCCUCGCAUGGGGAGAUGUUGAAAGGUCCGCCGGUCCAGGAGGGUCUCACGGCCUAUCAGCUUGUUGGAGAGGUAACGGCUCACCAAGGCAUCGACGGGUAGCUGGUCUGAGAGGAUGAUCAGCCACACUGGGACUGAGACACGGCCCAGACUCCUACGGGAGGCAGCAGUGGGGAAUCUUGCACAAUGGGCGCAAGCCUGAUGCAGCAACGCCGCGUGCGGGAAGAAGGCCCUAGGGUUGUAAACCGCUUUCAGUAGGGAAGAAAAUGACGGUACCUACAGAAGAAGGUGCGGCCAACUACGUGCCAGCAGCCGCGGUAACACGUAGGCACCAAGCGUUAUCCGGAUUUAUUGGGCGUAAAGAGCUCGUAGGCGGUUCAGUCAGUCGGGUGUGAAAACUUGAGGCUUAACCUCAAGAGGUCACUCGAUACUACUGUGACUAGAGUGCGGUAGGGGAGCGGGGAAUUCCUGGUGUAGCGGUGAAAUGCGCAGAUAUCAGGAGGAACACCAGUGGCGAAGGCGCCGCUCUGGGCCGUAACUGACGCUGAGGAGCGAAAGCAUGGGUAGCAAACAGGAUUAGAUACCCUGGUAGUCCAUGCCGUAAACGUUGGGCACUAGGUGUGGGUCUCAACCAACGAGAUCCGCGCCGUCGCUAACGCAUUAAGUGCCCCGCCUGGGGAGUACGGUCGCAAGACUAAAACUCAAAGGAAUUGACGG